rnacentral:rRNA from 1 species
CGGGACCCCACUGCUAUCGAGGUGGGACUUAGCCAUGCUAGUCGAACGAACAGAAUUAUGUCUGUAAGUGGCAUACUGCUCAGUAACACGUAGCUAACCUACCCUUAGGACGUCGAUAACCCCGAGAAAUUGGGGCUAAUAGGCGAUAGAUGUAUUGUCCUGGAAUGGUAAUACGUCCAAAGGUAUCCCAUACAUGUUUGGUAUACGCCUAAGGAUGGGGCUGCGGCCGAUCAGGCUGUUGGUGAGGUAAUGGCUCACCAAACCUUUGACCGGUACGGGCCAUGAGAGUGGUAGCCCGGAGAUGGACACUGAGACAAGGGUCCAGGCCCUAAGGGGCGCAGCAACCGCGAAACCUCCACAAUGCACUCACGUGCGAUGGGGCUAUCUCGAGUGCCACCUGAUGAAGGUGGCUUUUCCUUGGUCUUCAAAGCCUUGGGAAUAAGAGGGGGGCAAGACUGGUGUCAGCCGCCGCGGUAACACCAGCCCCUCGAGUGGUGGGGAUGAUUAUUUGGCCUAAAGCGUCCGUAGCCGGCCGAGCAAGUCUUCCGUUAAAUCCAGCGUCUCAAGCGUUAGGCUGCGGGAAAUACUGUCUGGCUAGAGAGUGGGAGAGGUCAGCGGUAUUCUGGGGGUAGGGGCGAAAUCCUUUGAUCCCCGGAGGACCACCAGUGGCGAAGGCUGCUGACUAGAACACGUCUGACGGUCAGGGACGAAAGCUGGGGUAGCGAACCGGAUUAGAUACCCGGGUAGUCCCAGCCGUAAACGAUGCAUGCUAGGUGUUGGGUUGGCCACGAGCCACCCCAGUGCCGCAGGGAAGCCGUUAAGCAUGCCGCCUGGGAAGUACGAUCGCAAGAUUGAAACUUAAAGGAAUUGGCGGGGGAGCACCACCAGGCGUGAAGCCUGCGGUUUAAUUGGAGUCAACGCCGGG